rnacentral:rRNA from 1 species
AUUGAACGCUGGCGGCAGGCCUAACACAUGCAAGUCGAGCGAGCGGCGGACGGGUGUGUAAUGUGUGGGAAACUGCCUGAUGGAGGGGGAUAACUAUUGGAUACGGUAGCUAAUACCGCAUACCAUCAGAUGUGCCCAUAUGGGAUUUGCUAGUAGGUGGGGUAAAGGCUCACCCAGGCGACGAUCCCUAGCUGGUCUGAGAGGAUGACCAGCCACACUGGGACUGAGACACGGUCCAGACUCCUACGGGAGGAAGCAGUGGGGAAUAUUGCACAAUGGGCGCAAGCCUGAGGCAGCCAUGCCGCGUGUGUGAAGAAGGCCUUAGGGUUGUAAAGGACUUUCAGCGGGGAGGCGUUACCCGCAGAAGAAGCACCGGCUAACUCCGUGCCAGCAGCCGCGGUAAUUC